UUACAGGCAGGCAUUGUCAGACCUAUAGUGCCCUGGAAGGAUCAUGUGACUGCAAGCUAGCAGCAAACCCUGCUGGGAUAUUGGGGCAGGUUUGUAUAAGGCAAGCUCUGUGCUAAGUCUGAAGAGACCAUUGUUGAGGCAGGACUUGGUGUGGGACUCUCAACUGAGGGAAUUAGAAGAGGAACUGCAGCAGCUGUUGGGAAUCUCUUCUUGUGAGGGGCCCAGCAGUGGUUUGUUUAAGCCCAGGGAAGAUGCCUGAGCCACAAGAUCUGUGAGAAGGAGCCCUGGUGGGCUGUGCUAAAGCAUUGGGGUGCCUGAAAAAGAGACUGGUGAUAUUGGAAGUGGUGCUAAAAGCUGUAAAGCAGAGAGCAUUGUAGGUAAAGGGCAGCCAACUCUUUCAUGGCUUUCAGUCCCAGGGCUUUUACUGAUUAGCCUGGGGAGGGUGGAUCUUGAUUGGCAGCCUUCUGCGCUGAGGAGUGAAGGCUGUGGCCCAGAGCAAGCUAGAGACAACUGUAUCUUGUUUAGGAAUUUUGUUGACCCUGGAAGGUCAGAACUUAAUUGCUUUGCCCAGAGGGCCCAAGACCAAUGGGAAACUGAGGCCCCGAACUGGAGUGGAAACUGAGGCAGCAGAAACAUCCUGAUGCUGGACCAGGAAUCCUGUGUGUGUAACUGCUCCAACUUAGCCUGCUUUGUGGAGAAUGGCCAGUUUCAGCACUGCCUUGUAAAUUCUUUAAACACAACAGGAUGGUCCCGUUUCUCUGAGCUGACUCCCAUACAUUGGUGCAGUCAGGGCACUGGUGUGUCCAAAUGAAAUGCAUAGUACAGGUCUGCUGCUUCCAAAAGGUUAAGACUCUUAACGUGUGCAAGUGGAAUGGGGUGAGAACCAAGGCAAAAUCUGCCUCUUGUCAUCGUUGGAGCACCGAUACCGUGGGAAGUCCAAUAUAAAAGUUCCAGCCAUUAGAGUUAAAAAAGAGCCCUGAUCUCGUACAGCAGCUGAUCCAAAUAACCUCGUCAAGUGAGUGCUCAGAGGACUUACACAUUCACUGUAACAGUGUGUCACUCUGCUGUGGAGCGAGAGAGGAGCCGGAGACCAGAAAACUUACAGCUCUGAAUAAGAAUCUGAAUCCAAACAUCACUAAUAUGGGAGGUGAAGGGCUGAGGUGGGCUGGUUUGAGUCUCUCUCACACUCGAAGGGAUCUGGGCUUUUGGAAUCAUUAACUAUAGACCUGACCUAAAGCCCAUUGAAGUCCAUGCAAAGACUCUAGUUGACCUUAAGUGAGCUUUGGAGCAAACCCUCUAACUGGAAAUUCACCAUCCUAAGGGAUAAUGUCUAGGUAUUGAUACUUGGAAAAAAUGGAUUCUGGGGAAAGGGAAUCUUCUGUGUUCCUGCUGGAAACCUGGGGGUCGUCCGUCCCUCUAACACUCUGCCUGUGUACACCAUACGUUCUGGCUGACAUCGAAUGAACUGGACUCCUUUGAGAACCUGCCACUGUUGCUCCACGUGGGGUCCCUGCUCAGGAAUUCCUCCUUGCGCAGCCUAGGUGCACUGCCUCCAAGGCGUCCCAGUUCCUGAAGAUCCCAGGAAGAACAGAAAUCCAGCCUCAGUCUCUUGCAUGCCAAUUCAGACAAGUACUAGUCAAACACAUGCUGUUAACAAGCUAAACAGUAUUGCCAACAACAUUCUUCAUUUCCUUUAGGAUCCAAAAGAGAAAAAGUUAAUGUAUAACCACAUACACGAAAAAAGUUAUCAAGAGCCUUGGCCGUUGUUUAUACAUUUAGAUGUUGUGAUUAAAUUACAUACAUAAUGCAUAGUGUUUGUAAUACAUUAUUAAUAAUAAUAAUAAUACUGUCUUGUAUUAUUCAGAUAUAAGAAGCAUGCUCCCAGUGAUGGUUCAUUGGUCUGUUCACACACAAUUUUCGUACAUCUCUAAAGAUUACCAUUUUAACAGCUUUCUGUAUGGAUACUGCCAGGCAGUUACAUUUAACAGUGCAUAAAUCUAAUUCCCUCUGCACUCAAUUUUCUCGGGCAGCAGAAUCAAUUUGAAUCUGUCAGGAUUUUAUUCUAAAGUCUAUUAAUGCCUCCUGCCUUUUCCUGUCUUCUCUCUCUCAACAAUCUCAUUCUUUCAUGAAUUCACUCAGCUGCAGAAAAAGAUGGCCUUCUGCUACAAACAGUCUUUUAUCUCUUUACAAUGAAACCUAAUUAGGCAUGAAGGAGACACAGAGGGUCACAAUUAGCCAUCCAGCAAUAAAGGUUAACAGUUGUGAAAUCCUAUAAUAAUGCUGUUGAACUUUGUUAUUAUCAAUAAUGAUGGACUUUGACAAGGUCAAUUUCA